CCUACGGGAGGCAGCAGUGGGGAAUAUUGCACAAUGGGGGAAACCCUGAUGCAGCGACGCCGCGUGGGUGAAGAAGUGCCUCGGCAUGUAAAGCCCUGUCAGCAGGGAAGAAAAUGACGGUACCUGAUGAAGAAGCCCCGGCUAACUACGUGCCAGCAGCCGCGGUAAUACGUAGGGGGCAAGCGUUAUCCGGAUUUACUGGGUGUAAAGGGGGCGGAGACGGGGAUGCAAGCCAGGAGUGAAAGCCCGGGGCCCAACCCCGGGACUGCUUUUGGAACUGCGUGGCUGGAGUGCAGGAGGGGCAAGCGGAAUUCCUGGUGUAGCGGUGAAAUGCGUAGAUAUCAGGAGGAACACCGGUGGCGAAGGCGGCCUGCUGGACUGCAACUGACGUUGAGGCCCGAAAGCGUGGGGAGCAAACAGGAUUAGAUACCCCAGUAGUA
rnacentral:rRNA from 1 species